AUCCAGCUGACGAGUCUCAAAUAGGACGAAAUGCGCGUCCUAGAU
rfam:Schistosoma rodhaini strain Burundi genome assembly, scaffold: SROB_scaffold0001311